CCACCUUCAGGGGCCACCCAUGCAGGUGCAUACAUGCGCCCAGGGCAUUGGAAAGAGAACUUGACAUCGGCCAUGCUGAUUCGGGCAGUCAUGUCCUCAUCAAUCUGAGGAAGAGAAGAUGUGGAAGGAGGGUUUCUUGGGAUCAACAACUUCUAGUUGAGGUUUUGGCCCACCUGAGCCGGGGACACUCCUCAUUGAAGUCCCUGCUCUUCCUUGUACUCCAAUCUCGAACCUUCAACACCUUCACGACAAUGUCAU